UUCCACCCAGGAAAUCAUGGCUUAUCUGAUAACUUUACUGAUGCUAAUUGCUUUACUUCUCACAGCAAUCCAUGCAGCAAGAGUAAGUCCUAGGGAAGAACAAAGUAAAGGUCGGUGUGCUUCUUGGUUAGCCUUAUCAUUCAGGUAAGGAUGGUCUUAGGGCUCCAAGUUCAGGGCUCAAAUGACGAAUGCAGAGGCCAGGUCAGUGACAUACAGACUACAGCAAGGCUUGGAGUGAUACAGUAGGAGGAAAAGUUGGUGGACUUGGGAGAGUUUCCCUAAAGUCAUUCAAAUUCCGUUUUUAAAAAAAGAUUCAAAAAUUAGAGAGUAGGAUGGGGCCGUGCUAAGGGCAACUUUGAGCUUUGUUUGAAUUAUUCACUAAAAAUUAGAAUAAUUUAAAAGAAAACAAAGCUCUUAAAAGUAAUCAGACAAACAAAUCCUGCAGUGGUAAACAAAACCUUAUCGUUUUAUGGCACCAGUUAAUAAUUUCUGUCACUUGCUACCUAGUUGUGAUAGGACAGGGACAGGAUGGAAGGAAGAGAGGACUUGCAUGUAGAGUCACAUGAGUAAAUGUGAGAGGAACUGACCUACAACAUAUAUGAUGACACCUGACUCUUCCCUGUCCUCUGUGCACUGUCACAUAUCCCUGGCUGGACUGCUCUCUGCUACGAUCAUUCAAGGACACUUACAAUCUUUCCUCCUAUGCCAGGUUUAUAUAAAUGUGGACGUCACUUGAGUUAAGUAAUGUGGCUUUUUACAUUGGCUUGCAAGAUUUUCCAUUAUUUCGGUCACGAUAGCCCUGUUUUCCCCAGUCAUUAAUUCUAUAAAUUCAUUCAUUCAGUAUGCUCCUAUGGAGUGAGUCUUUUGUGUUAUGCAAUAUAGUCAGAUUAAAAUUAUGAGGAUGUAGAAGACAAUUCUAGGUCAAUGUGUGAAUACAGAUGCUUGUUAUGUACUUGAAUUUCUAACAAAAGCUUUCUCAACCUCAAUACCAUUGCAUUUCAGUUGAAUUCCUUGUGGAAUCUCUUCUGUCUACUAUGGGAUGCUUCACACCUUUUUUGGUGUCAACUCACUGCCACUGGCAAACACAACCCUCCCAACUGUGAAUCAUGGAUUUCCCCACCAAACCAAAGGAAGCCUUCCUCAUUAUCUCUGGUCUCUUCAGCUAGGCCAUGCUCAUCUUCAGAUCAUGGGGACCCCGCUGCAGACAGGCAGGUCUGUGCACACCCUACCGAGG